AUUUUUGUUUUUUCCAGUCUCGUCUUCUCCAAAAGAUGAAAAUCGAUGGAUGUUCUCUGCAAUUAGUCUUACUUCUAUCAAAUAAUUAUACAAUCAAUUCGUCAAUGGCUUUGAGGGCUUCCUUCAUUUUACAGGGAAAAGAGAAAGAUUAAAAAAAAAAAAUUGUUCUCUCUCUUCUUCUCUUCGUCUUCUCCGACGACUCCGACGAAGCCGAUCGAGAGAAGAAAAAAAUUCAACGGCCGUCCGGUUACUGUCUUGCUCCGUUCCGACGAUCUAUCUUCCCCGAGUAGAUCUGUGAUUCGUUUCUCGGCGAUACUUGAUUUUUUAAACAAUGGCUGCUCCUCCUGCUAGAGCUCGUGCUGAUUACGAUUUCCUCAUUAAACUUCUGCUGAUCGGAGACAGCGGUGUUGGUAAGAAUUGCCUCCUCUUACGUUUCUCAGAUGGCUCGUUUACCACCAGUUUCAUUACAACUAUUGGGUAUAAUGUCUUCAUUGCAUGACUCUGUGUUAUCACGUCCUCUAUGUACUCCUCAAGAUGAAUCUGAUUCCAGUUUAUGGUUUUAGCUUAAAUUUGAAGCUUUUUUCAUUUUAGUUAUGUGAAAAUGUUGUUGUGAUUUGUUAGAUGGUUUCAAUAUGCCUACCAUUUUGUUUUUUUUUUUCUAAGAUUACAAGCCUUUUCUAGUUCUGAUUUCAUUCAUUGUGAUUGGAAGAUUUUAAAGUUUGUUGAUAUACUCUUAUAUUGUCUUUGGGUA